rnacentral:rRNA from 1 species
UACGUAGGUGGCAAGCGUUGUUCGGAAUUACUGGGCGUAAAGGGCGCGUAGGCGGCUUCGUCAGUCAGGUGUGAAAGCCCUGGGCUCAACCCGGGAACUGCAUUUGAUACUGCGAAGCUCGAGUCUCGGAGAGGUUGGUGGAAUUCCCAGUGUAGAGGUGAAAUUCGUAGAGAUUGGGAAGAACACCGGUGGCGAAGGCGGGUCUCUGGACAGUUCCUGACGCUGAGGCACGAAGGUCAGGGGAGCAAACGGG